AGAGAAGGUUACAAGAGCGAACGGCGGAUGCCUAGGCUUCUGGAGGCGAUGAAGGACGUGGUAAGCUGCGCAAAGCACCGGGGAACUGCAAACAGGUAUUGAUCCGGUGAUAUCCGAAUGGGGCAACCCGGCUGGCUGAAGGCCAGUCACUGACAAAGUCAGAGCAAACGCGGGGAACUGAAACAUCUCAGUACCCGCAGGAAGAGAAAGAAAAUAUCGAUUCCCUUAGUAGUGGCGAUCGAACGGGGAAGAGCCUAAACCGAUGUUGUUACGGCAUCAUCGGGGUUGUAGGACCAGCCAUAAGAUUAUCUGAAUCGAACUGGAACGUUCUGGAAAGUUCGAUCAUAGAGGGUGAUAAUCCCGUACAGGUAAGAUUUGGUUAACGAGGCUGGCACCUGAGUAGGGCGGGACACGUGAAAUCCUGUCUGAAUCCGCGGGGACCAUCCCGCAAGGCUAAAUACUCCCAGAAGACCGAUAGUGUACCAGUACUGUGAAGGAAAGGUGGGAAG
rnacentral:rRNA from 1 species